ensembl:lncRNA
GUGAAAAUCAUGUGUUUUCUCAAAUCCCACAUUUAAGCGAAAGUCACGCGUUUUCUCUUCGCAAAUCCCCCAUUUAACACAAAAAACCAUGAGUUUUCUCUUCAAAAAUCCCCCAUUUAAGCGAAAAUCACACAUUUUCCCUUCGCAAAACCCCCAUUUAAGUGGAAAUCUCGCGUUUUCUCUUUGCGAAUCGUCAAUUUAAGUGAAAAUCAAGCGUUUUCUCUUUGAGAAUCCCCCAUUUAUGCGAAAAUCACAAAUUUUCUCUUCUCAAAUACACCAUUUAAGCAAAAAUCACACGUUUUCUCUUUGCAAAUCCCCCAUUUAACUUGAAAAUCACGCGUUUUCUCUUCAGGAAUCUUCCAUUUAACCUGAAAAUCACGCGUUUUUUCUUCGCAAAUCCCCCAUUUAUGUGGAAAACACGUGUUUUCUCUUCGAAAAUUUCCCAUUUAACCCGAAAAUCACGCGUUUUCUCUUCACAAAUCCCCCAUUUAAGCGAAAAACACGCGUUUUCUCUUCACAAAUCCGCCAUUUAUGUGGAAAACACGUGUUUUCUCUUCGAAAAUUUCCCAUUUAACCCGAAAACCACGCGUUUUCUCUUCAGAAAUCCCCCAUUUAAGCGAAAAACACGCGUUUUUCUCUUCACAAAUCCCCCAUUUAAGCAAAAAUCACGCGUUUUUCUCUUCAGGAAUCUUCCAUUUAACCCGAAAAACACGCAUUUUCUCUUCACAAAUCCGCCGUUUAAGCAAAAAACACGCAUUUUCUCUUCAGGAAUCUUCCAUUUAACCCGAAAAUCACGCGUUUUCUUUUCAGAAAUCCCCCAUUUAAGCGAAAAUCACGCGUUUUCUCUCCGAGAAUCCAACAUUUAAGCGAAAAUCACGCGUUUUCUCAAAUCCCACAUUUAAGCGAAAGUCACGCGUUUUCUCUUCGCAAAUCCCUCAAUUAACACAAAAAACCACGAGUUUUCUCUUCACAAAUCCGCCAUUUAAGCAAAAAUCACGCGUUUUCUCUUCAGGAAUCUUCCAUUUAACCCGAAAAUCACGUGUUUUCUCUUUGCAAAUCCCCCAUUUAACUUGAAAAUCAUGCAUUUUCAAUUUGCAAAUCCCCCAUUUAUGCGAAAGUCACGCGUUUUCUCUUCAGAAAUCCCCCAUUUAUGUGGAAAACACGUGUUUUCUCUUCGAAAAUCCCCCAUUUAACCCGAUAAUCGCACAUUUUCAAUUUGCAAUCCCCCAUUUAAGCGAAAAACACGCGUUUUCUCUU